rnacentral:lncRNA from 1 species
GCUUUCAUGCAUAUAUGGGCAAUUGGGGCAUCUGUGAUGAAGUGCUGUUGACAGAAGUAUGGCCCGUGGUAACAUGAUUGCUAUAAUAAGGAACCAUGGAGAAGAGCCUUUCACCUCUAGCCAUGAUUCUGAGAACUUCCCAGCCAUGUGGAACUGUCCAUCUACAAGUAUAUUUUUUCAUUACAAAUAAUUCAAGAAAAAGAAAUCAUUGAAGAUAAAUGAAACAUUGUAUUACAUUUUAUGCCAGGUAUUUUGCCAAAAAAAUUGUUUAAAAAGAAGCCAGUUUAAUUAGAAAUAUGAAGUAACUAUUGAAUUGUUCUAUUUGCAAUGAAAUAAAUUGUAAUCAUGCAGGAAAAAUUUCCUUAGAACAAACUUCAGCUUCUUGAGAGCAGUGUCUGUUUCUUACUUUGUUGCAAAUGUACAUUCACCAAUCAGGCACUUGUUAAAAAGUGCUUGAAACGGCAAAUAAUAAAGACGACUACUUUUCAGAUAUUGUAUCUCAGCAGAGAUGCUGAAAAAAGAAAGAGAGAAGAAUGAGGUCUUUGCAGAAAGAUUGGAAGAUGAAGAGGAGAUAAGUAGAGAAAGAAAGCACCAGGAUGGAAAAAUAUGGGUCUUGCCUUCACCAAAUGAACUUGUGUUUCAAAACAU